rnacentral:rRNA from 1 species
CGCCUGUUUAUCAAAAACAUGUCCUUUUGCUAAUUUUUUAAGGUCUGGCCUGCUCAAUGAAUGUUAAAUAGCCGCAGUAUUUUGACUGUGCAAAGGUAGCAUAAUCAUUAGUUUUUUAAUUGAAAGCUGGAAUGAAUGGUCGGAUGAGGGAGUGACUGUCUCACUUUAAUUUUCAUAGAACUUUAUUUUUAAGUCAAAAAGCUUAAAUUUGAUAUAAAGACGAGAAGACCCUAUAGAGUUUAAUAGAUAAAAAGUAUAAUAAAUUUAAGGUUUAUAUUUUUUUUAUGCUUUAAUCUAUUUUGUUGGGGUGACAGAGAAUUGAAUUGAACUUCUUUAUAUAGCACCACUGAUUAGUGAGUAAAUGAUCCUUUUAUAGAGAUUAAAAAACUAAAUUACCUUAGGGAUAACAGCGUAAUUUUUUCAGAGAGUUCUUAUCAAUGAAAGGGAUUGCGACCUCGAUGUUGGAUUAAAGUUAAUUCUUGGUGCAGAAGCUAGGAUAUUAAGUCUGUUCGACUUUUAGAAACUUUCGUGAUCUGAGUUUAGACCCG